CCGCUAAUCUCCAUUCAGAAAUCCCUAAUUUCACGAUUUCAGUCCCCCGUCGCCUCUACACCGCGCAUCAGGCGAAUUCAGUCCGCAUCCACACCGCGCAUCAGCUAAUUGGCGACCGCCAGCCGAUUAUCGGUGAAUUCAGUCCGCCUGUACACCGUACAUAGGUUUUCUGUCGACAAGGGGAUUUGCUUGGCGAAACGAAGGAAUUUUGUUGGCAAUUGUGAACUAAGUUUAUUGGCGCGUUUCUCCGACUACACCUAGUUUUGUGUUACGGGAUUUGCAUUUCACAUCAUAUGGAGACAUAUAUGGGCACGAAGGUCAGCGAAUGGAAAUGCUACCUAACAAACAAGAAAUCAAAAUUCUUCCAGCUGCUUCGUGGCAAUUACUGUACAAUACAACAAUGUUGUACAACAACGACAUUCUUGUAAUUGACUCUAUCAUGAGUAUUGCAUCAAAGCACUUCGAGGAUGGGAAAAAAAGCGGAUCAAUAGAUGUUGAGCAGAUGGUCACGAACUACAACAAACAGUGACCGAUUAUUGAACUUUUUUUUUCUUCUUCAAACAAGUAGUUUGGUUUCUUUAUUGGUUUUUUGUGUAGAUGAUUUGAUUGAUAUUUUGAUUUGGUGACUCCUUGUACUUAAAACAAGUCAGUUUUAUUUUGGUGUAGCCAAUGUUGUUGAUGUAAUUUGAAUGUUAUUUGUUGCGUACU